UUUUUUUUUGUGUUUUACCAUGUAUAUCACAAUAGGUGAAUUUUUGACCUCCCAUUUACGAAAGAAUUGAUGUUGUUUUUUAAUUUUUUAUGAUUUAUGUACUUGCAUAAAAACUAUUGUAAAAGAUACAAUCAAUAGUCGGGAAAACAAAUCCUUUACAAAUUUAUGGAUUAAUAAUGAUUAAAGUGAGAUUUUUUGCUAAUAAUCAUUUGCUUCCACCCCUCACUCCCUCAUCAUUCCUCAAGAAGAACCUAUGAAUAUAAUAUUAUUGAUACUAAGCAAAAGAAAGAAUCAGUUCAUAUAGAAAUUGAUACUGGAAGCACACACAUUUUAUUCACUAAAAAACAUCAAUAUAAAUGAUAUAAAAUUUAUGAUAGGAUUUAUAAAUAUUUGGGUAUAUUUCAAAAGCUAUACUCAAUUAAUCCAUAAAUCUAUACAGAAUAAAUAAUAAAGAAAGAAAGAAAAUAGGAUAAAAUGGAAAUAAAAAAUAACUUAACUUCUUAAAUAAGUGUUUUCCACUUUUAUGCCUAUAUUUGUUAUUGCAAAUUUUUACUUUUGUCAUUUAUUAUAUAUAUUCAUUAUAUAGAUUAAAUUCCCCAACUUCAUAAAAGUAAAAAAUAAAAAAGAGCACGAAUAACUGCAAUAAUAGCGGUAAUUAUACUAAAAUAUAUUUCUUCCUUACAUUUUGUUAUGUGUAUUGUAGAUGGUAAGUCCUUGAGCUCCCAUUUGAAAAAGAUUUAAUUUUGUUCUUUAUUUUUUAUAUUUUAUGUACUUUAGUUAUGAAAAACUAAUCCUUUACAGAUUUGUGGAUCAACAAUAAUUAAAGUGAGAAUUUUUGCUAAAGGCCACUUGCUUUUGCCUCUUACUCCCCAUCUUUCUUCAUAAAGAGUAUAUAAAUAUGGAUAUUACUGAUGCAUAGCAAGAGGAAAAACUAACUAAUAUAAAGAUUCAUAAUGAGGGUAUUCAUAUUUUAUUCACUAAAGAACAUCAAUAAAAGUGGUGUAAUAUCUGUGACAAAAUUUAUAAAGAUUUUGGAUGGAUUUACUUAAUUGAUCCAUAGAUGGAUAUAAAUUAAAAAGUAAAAAAAGAAAAAAAGGGAGAUAAAAUGGAAAGAUAAAAUAACUUAAGUUCUCAAAUAUGUGUUCCUCUCUUUUAUGCCCAUACUUAUUAUUGUAGAUGUUCAUUUUCGUUAUUUAUUACAUAUAUUUAUUAUGUAAGUUAAAUUUCUUUAUUUCAUAAAUGAGAAAGAGAGAGAGUGUGAGUGAAUAAUAGUGGCAAUUGCAGUAAAAUGCAUUUCUUCUUUAUAUUUUGCUAUGCACAUUGUAAUUGGUGAGUUUUUGAACUCUCAUUUGCAAAUGAAUUGAUAUUGUUCUUUAUUUUCUUGUGCUUUGUAUAUUUUGAUUGAAAAAACUAAUCCUUUAUAAAUUCGUAAAUCAACAAUAAUUGGAGUGAAUUUCUUUGCGAAAUGCUACUUGCCUUUACUAUUUUUUUUGCUUUAUAUAUUGGAUGCAAUUUAUAAUUGUGCCUUAUAAAUCCAUGUAUCAGUAAUGAUUAUAGUGAAAUUCUUUGUCAAUAGCCAAUUCCUCUAUCAUUCUUCAAAAAGAGCCCAUGGAUAUAAAUAUUGCUAAUACUCAGUAGCGGGAAGAAUCGAUUAAUAUGGAGAUUGAUGAUGAAGGUGCCCACCUUUAUUCACUAAAGAAGAUUAAUACAAGUGGUGUAAAACCUCUGAUAAAAUUUAGAUUUCAAAAGCUAUACUCAAUUAAUUCAUAAAUGUAUAUAAAAUUAAAAAAAAGAAGAAAGGGGGAUAAAAUUAAGAUAGAAAAUAACAUAGUUAAUUUUGCUCCCUUUUAUGCUUGCUGUUGUAAAUAUUCACUUUUGUCAUUCACUAUUAUAUUUAUUAUAUGUUUUAGAGUAGGUUAAAUUCCUUAUCUUAUGUUUAUGCUUUGAGCUUACAUUUGACUUACAUUGAUUACAUGGUCAGAUCCAUGAAUGUAUAAAAAAUAAAAAAGAAAUAAAGAAAUAAAAGGGAAUAAACUAGAAAUAAAAAAUAAUCUAUUUUCUUAAGUCCUUUUAUACAUAUACUUGAUAUUGUAAAUGUUCACUUUUGUCAUUCAUCAUACAUAUCCAUUAUAUCCCUUGGGAUAGAUUAAAAAAUUUUAUUUUGCAAAGGAGAGAGAAAAAGGGAGAGAAAAAAAGAGAAUGUGAAUAACAUAACAAUGCUAGCAAUUGCACUAAAAUGUAUUUAAAAAAUAACAAUCACACAUAUUUUGUCAAUUGAUCCAUUAUGACCCAUACUUGCUCCUUUUGUUUAUGUAUUCAUGAAAACAAAUGAUAAAUUCCUCAAAAACACUACACUAAUUACUUUGAGGAAUAAGCAAAAGUUGCAAAAGUCCCUCCAACUUCUCCCAUAACACCUUUACCUGCUAACAAAGCUCACAAAAUUUACAAUACUUAAGGAUAUUAAUUUUCAUAUUCCUCAAAUAAAAAUUGCAAUUAAUCAGCUCAUAUGUCUUUUUCCCCCCAAAAUAACCAGCCUCCAAACAAUUAUACUAGUGGAAUAAAAUCUAAUUAAUUAACACAUUCACAUAUGACAAAUAUGGUUGUUGUAAAAGAGAAUCCCAUUUACUAAUAAGAAAAGUGCAUUUGUCUAUGCUUGCAAAAAGACUACCUCAGCAUUUGAAGCUUGAGCACAAUCAGUCAAUUGCUCAAACUCUAAAUAUAUAAGGAUAGUGGGUAAAACUAACUUAAAGCAUAAUUCAACUUUUGUUUAUGCGCUUGUCUUUGUUUUACAUUUGGCUUAGGUUUAAGCCCAAACUAUAUACCAUAUUAGUUGGUGGAGUACCCAUCUCUUCGCAUUAAGUCACUUAUAUGUUGAAAUUAUGCAAAACUCUAUUUGACUUUGUUUUGUGUAUUAGUUUUAGUGUUGGGAUACUACAAGCUUUAGAAUUGUUCCUAUGUUACUCCAUACUUCUGUCCUUUCGCUCAUUGGAUUGAAUACUUAUGAAUCAUUUUAUAUUCAUUCCUUGACUGUAUACUUAGAAGUUUGGUUAUGUUUCUUCAUUCAAUGAUCCAAGACCCUAAACUCGGGUUCCACUCUACUGCCCUUAGUCCACAUAUUUAAUGGUUAAGGUUUUGCUCUAUAGUUUUGCUCUAUGGUUAUCUUAUAGUAAAACAUCAUAAAGUAAAGGGUGAAGACCAUAUGUACUACAAAAACUCUUCUAAACUCUUUAUAGUUUAGGAAUGAUGAAAAUGUUACUUUAUGCUCUCAUUGUGAGAGCCACUAAUAAAGUAGGAUUUAUUUUGAUCAAGAUCUUUCAUUAUAACAUUGUUAAUCAAGUAAAUUUCUCAAUAUAGUCCCCAAGUGUUAUAUUCUCUUGCUGAAAAUAUCAAAAUUCCAUUCAAUCAUACUCUAUGUGAUAAUGAGGGAUAAAAUGUAGACAUAAAACAGCCUUAAACUCAUCUAUGGGGUUCCUUGUCUAUAACAUGAGACUCCUCAAGUUAAUUUCAUCAUCAAAAAUUCACAUUAUAUAAAACCAUAAGAAUAGCCAUUAAAAGUUUUAUAUCUAGAGUUUUUUAAUAGCCAAGAACUUUUUCACAUUAGUUGGCUAAGCUAGACACUCAUCCACACUGCCAUCAUUGGAAAAAAGUUGGAAUUUUGAGUUAGUCUACAUAAUUGUAAUACUACCACUGUCAACCUCAAAUGCCUCAAUAUACCUAUGCAUAAUAGCCAUUAGGCCAUGCAUCUCCUCUUGCAUCUCUUGUUGAUUUUUGCUAAAAGCUUAUAUCUCAUAAACAAGGAUAGUUUAAACCUUCAUAACUCCAUCAACACCAAUAGUAGGAUUCUAGCAUUCAUCUUAGUUACCCAUCACAAAAAACUACUCUAAUACCAAUGUUAUGACUUAGUGCUAAAUAACACAACAAAGAAGUCUAGCAUCACUUAGAUUAUAUUAUGCCUCCUCUUUAAGUUCCUCACUACCCAACCAUCCUUAAACUACCACAAAAUCUUUCACUUGAUUAUAAGUUGUCAAGGUAAAUGAAGUUUCUUACUUGCUUUAAGAUACCCUUGAGCCUAUUUUUGACUCACAUUGACCAUAUGGUCAAAAUUGGCAUCUAAUAAAGUCCCACUUUAGACAUCUAAAAGUACCACUGACGUACCAAGCCUCUUAUAUUAAGGCCAUGCACUAUCUUAUUGAUAGUUUAAAACCACCCAUAUAUCUCUCAAAAAUUAUUCCAUAAGUGGGACAAUUCCUUAGCAUCCAUAAAAUAUAAUGGAACAUAAACCUUUAAUAUCCUUUUUUUGAUUUCCACUAAAUCCUAGUGAAUGGGCCUUUGGGCAUUAACUCAGUGGUAGUCUUAAUGAACACUACCAUGAUGGCAGAACUAACAUUUGAGACUUCCUCACCACAUAAUUACAUCAUUAGUUAAUAAUCAAAAAGACUAUUUUUUUUCCUUUCCAUGGUCAAGGAUUUUAAAUGAUAUUUCAAAAGUCCACAGCCUAGUACAAACCUCAUAAAUACUCUUCCCACCUUUAGCCACCAGGGUGCCUCAAUCAUGUGGCUAGAGUGAAAUUUUAAAGGGCCAUACCAGGUAAUGCUAUCCAUACUUGGAUUGGAAGCAUCAAUCAUAAUGUGUUAAAAUCAACCCUUAAAUACUUCACCAAGUUCAUCAGCAAUAGGGUAUGGCAUCGUCCAAACACAUGGCAAUGGGUGACACCACCACACCAUGCUCUGCAUACCCACACAUUAGAUGGAACUGUAGCCAGGCUUGCUCCUUAUUCAGUCCUCGCAGCUCGGCCACCUUAUGCUUCUUCCCGCUCACUGUGUAGACGCGCGUUGACUAGGUAGCCCAACGUUGACCACGAGGCGCUGGUGCACGCACACAGCUCUGUGCUCUCGUUGGAACGUGGUGGAUUUCAGUGUAGGGCACCUCAGAGUCAAGCUUGGGCUUCAUGCAGGGCCAGACAAUGCCGCCACGCGGCCAUCACUGUCCCAGCACAGCACCUGCUUGUCGAGGAAGAGGCAUCGAUGUGGACAUGCAGUGGUGCCUGCCUGCUGCUCCAUCCCUCGAGGCUCAAGGUUUAAAGCACAGAAAGCAGUCCAACUUUGUAAUUGAUAUACAAUAUAGAUAUGAUCCUUGAGAAACAAAAUGUACCUUGAUGGUGAGGUAAGCAAUGUAAAGCGCCUCAAGGCCAGGCUCCAAGAGCUGUGCUAUGUUGACGGAUCUGGGCUCGAAGUCGCCCGAGUCCAUACACAGGUCGGCUUGAUGCCACUAAUGCUAGACCUCCUGACAAACGGCUUGAUAAUUUGCUCGACAUGGACACUGCCUUGGAAAGUAUUGGUGAGCAUGAGCCCGAGCUUGGACAUGACCAGGCUCUGAAACUUUUUGCACUUGCCCAUGCAGCACCCAUUCCACAUUGCACGAAGAUGGCCAGAGCUCAAUGCAAGGUACCACGUUGACAAACAUCCACCGAAGCUUGGGCAUGUCGAGCACGAGAGAAAAGUUGGCUCCUGUUGGGGCCCCUGUGGGCACGAAUCACCAGGCAGUCGAGGCUGUGACUCUUGAGCAAAUGCGUCCCGGGCGACUCCACCAGCAGCUGGGUCAGCCAGAAGUAUACGAGCGAGGGGCACAACUUGAGGAGCUGCUUCGUCAUGGCCACGUCUGCGUAUGAAGCAGUAGAUGAGCGCGGGAAGAAUUGGAGCUGCUGCCUUGGUCGUGAGAGGACCGCCAAGCUCGACACCAUCGUUGAUAUGGAGGCACCGUAGCUGCUGGACCAGAAGCCAUCCACACUGACGCUGAUGGUAAGGGAGUGAAUGGUUUUUCCAAUCGCCAGUAGCCAGUCAAGAGUAGCUGCUUUGAGGAACCUGUCAAAGACAGGGAGCGGAGAUUGCUGCUGCUGCUUGCCAAAGGAGACCCCAUUGCUCAUGCUCACCGGACGAUUCCAACCUGAAAUGCAUGACGAGCCUUGCCAGCUGUGCCCACCUCUUGCCCACCAGCAUGAGGGGACGAGCAGGGACAGGAUCCGGAUGAGAAAAUCGUCGGGAAGAUCGUCCAUGGAGCUCAGAUUGUUGCUCACUGCUGAUUGAUAUUGUGGCAGUCCAAAAAAACGUUGUGUGUCAUAUUUCAAAUUACUGCAAAAUUUGCCUAUCAAACUCUACUGUUGGCUCCAAGACUCCAUGUUGCCAUGGAGCUGUCCUCAAUCGACAAGAGCUCCUCCGAAAACACAUUGUCUGAAAGUAUUUGCCAUUCAUGCUUCCAGAUUCAUAGAAUAUAUGGCUCAUCAAACUGCUUCUCCAUGAAGACAGAUCAAACUCCAGAAACUCAUCAUCAAUGAGGGUGAGGAUACUAAUAGUGGUGGCGGGCUCCUCCGGCCCUAAACCCUCAUCUGCCAGCUUUUGAUCAUCACAACCUUGGCCCUACUGCGUCAAUGUGUGUCUUGACAAUGGGCAUUUGAGGUGGCAAAAUCUUGGGAGAUCAAGGCCAAUUGUGUUUGUAUUGAGGAUGUAACUCUUGACCAUAACACGAAUCAAGUAUUGUACCCGUAGCUCCCAAAUUUUCUUAGUGAUUCCAUAGAUGUGGCUCUUUCUUAAUGUAGUAUGAUAUAAUUAUAAUAAUUUAUUUGAAUUAUAUCUAACAUUAUCCCCAGUAAGUUCUCUUCCUUUAGAAAAAGACAGCAGGGAAGAGAAAAAUCCCCAUAGAGCCGAUGCUGAGAAAAGAAAGAAAAUGUAAACUUUGAUUGUAGACAUUUUGCCAGCUUUGCUGUGUUACUGAAUGUUGAUAACUGCUUGACAAGAGGUGGCAAAGUCUUGAGAUCAAGGCCAAAAUUGGUGUUGAGAUAUAGCUCUUGCCUGUGUCAAGGAUGUUACGUGCUGAAGUCUUGUAGCUGUAGUAUAGCUCUAAUAACUUUGUGAUUCCAUAGAUAUGCUUGUGGUGGCAACACUCUUCAGCAAUGCAUAUUUUUGUUUUCCCAACUUUUUUAUCUAAAGACAAAAUAAUUCACAAAUUUAUAUAUUUCACAAAAUUUUAAAUACAUAUUUGAGUGCUGACUCACCACUUUUAAUGACUUAGCAAAAUUUUAUUGGUUGAAAAUUUUCCUACCAACCUAAAAUGGCCAAACUUCAAACUUUCCGACUUGUUUUAAUGUGUGCAUCGAUUGGUGCCUGAUAAUAGUUUUCAUUUGAGGUGGCAAAGACUCAAGACCAAGGCCAAUGUUUGUGUUUACCAUUCCAGGAAGUAACAGGAUAAAUCAAGUAUUGUACCCAUGAGUAUGUGUCUGCUCCCAUAUUUUUCAUGAUUCCAUAGCUUUCGGAAGCAACUCUUUCUUGUCUCAACGGAUUUUUUCUUCCCCGGUGUCUUUUUCUAAACAAAGGAAAACUUAAAAGAAGAAACUGUGUAGAAAUUAAAUACCUUGAUGAUCGAAGACAUUUGGUCCUGUUGCGCUACCGAGUGCAUCGAUAGCUGCUUGACAAUGAUUUUCAUUUGAGGUGACAAAGUUGAUUCGGUGUUGAAGACAUAGCAUUUGUCUGUGUCAGGGAAGUUACUAGAGAAGUUUAGACUUUGUAGACAUGAGUAUGCAUAACUUCUUCGUGAUUCCAUAGAUGCGUUUGCGGUCGCAACACUUUCUUAUCUCAGCAUCGGAGAUGUACUCUAGCAAAAUUUUAUUUCCCAGCUGUUGUUUUCCACAAAAUCGUGGAGCUCUUGCCGUCUACAUGCCGUCGAGUGGAUCAAGCAGAACAGGGGCGUGGGGACCAUCCAGGGCCUGUCAAGCUCAAGAAGUUCACGUUCCCGCCACAUUUUGAAGGUUACUUUCCUGCCCAGAGCUUCAGUGAUGAGGAACAUCCCGGUCGCGGCCGCCAUGUAAGUUCGCCACACACAGAGAGAGAGAGAGAGAGAGAGAGAGAGAGAGAGAGAGAGAGAGAAGCAUACCACCGAGAAGAUCAUCCAAAAGCUGGCUUCCAGUGUCACGGAUUUUCGCUUUGAAGAGCCUCAUUCCCAGUGAGAUAGCCGACUUGCUGGAAAAUAGCAAUAAGCGAUCCAAGGCACUUACCACUAUCUUUUCUGCCGUCUUGUCGACCUUUGGUUCGGACAAUCCCGUUAAGCUCUGGCAGAUAGAAGAAAAUCCGAUAAGGGAAAAAGAAAAGAUCAAUCGAUUGGCACCUUCUUUGUUUGCAGUCCAUUGCAUGUAUGACUUCCCGCGUCCUGGAGGCUUUUUCACAUCCCCGGCAUUGAUUCCGGAAGAACAAGUUAUCUCGAAGGCCGAGAGACCGAUCUAAAGACUGACGCCUGUCAAUCGUCUCAAAGGUCCUCCUCCUCAUGCGAGGGCAACGAUUCCGGACUGGCAAAACUCAGCUCGCGCAAGCCGAGCAUCUGCCGUUGGGCUUAUACGGAGUUAAUGGUAAAAAGUGGACAUCGACACCAAGAUGGCAUUGUAUGAUCGUUUUCCUUUAAUUUCUUUGCUGUGAAUUCUAAACGAUGCUUGCAGCCGUCCCGAUGGAAUCAUUCCCAUCGCGGAAAGGUUUGGACUGGAUCCAACAGCUGCUCUUGACAAACGUAAGUGUUUUAGCUAUUGGUCUCGUGAGUAACUUUCGGUUUUCCAGAUUGUGUACAUGCUCGAUCAUACACGCACGAACAUCAAUACAACCUUCUGAUCGCCUUAGCGGCUAAAAUGACUGAAAACCGAUCAGGCUCUUGGUAAGAAAUAAUUAUCUUCUAUCCAGUUCUUACAAGGAAGUGCAGACUGUCGGGUGGUGUUCUCAAUGCUUGCAUGCAAGGCUUUAGUUGAUGGUACUAGCUCGCAAACAAAAUCGAAGACAAACAGCUACUCGUGCCUUGUUGAUCUCUGUCGGGAUAUUGAGCAGCUAGUUAUACGUUCGCGUUUCUCCUACGUGGCUUACUCAUUUACACGAGAACAAGUAAAUCAAUAAGGUCUCUUGGAUGAUCUUCCGGAGCUGCUCUUCUUGGUGGAGCGGAUGAGGAUCACCAAGACGCGCAACAAUCUGUGCUCCAUGGACGAUCUUCCCGAUGACGUUCUCAUCCGGAUCCUGUCCCUGCUCAAUUGUAUUGGGGUAGCCUGGUGAGCAAGACAUCUGGCAAGGCUAGUCACGCACUUCAGGUUUGGCAGCAGCAGCUGUCUUUGACGAGUUUAGUACCAUGGCAGGACGACGAUUGAGAGAUGUCGUCAAAGAAACUCUCAUCGCUAAAGCGUGGCCAAUUUGGUCCGAAAACUCGCGUCGUCAUCGCUGGCCUCUCCAACGAUUACUCUCAGUACGUGACCACUUUCGAGGAGUAUCAAAUCCAGCGAGAUGAGGUUGGCGUCGCCUCCGGAUCUUGCUGGCACUGAAGAGAUGCACGGUAGAGAUUACAUUGUGGCCGGUUGGCGAACUCCAAGUCGUGAACUUUCAAGACUUCUGCGUCAAAAGCCGAUCGAUGUCCAUAGGCUGACCAUUAAACUGUCGAUGGAGACAAUAUACGAAGGUGUGCGUCUCUGCAAGAAAUAGGAAAUCGUUGAUAUCUGGCAAGCUUACCUCAGGAAGAUCGAGAGGGGAUCACUUUGACUAAGCUGUUCGUCCUGGACAUAAGCUCGAUUACAAUCAAACAGUGAGCACUUUUUAACAGACCUUCGUACGCUUGGAACCUCGCUUGUGUUGCACCUGAUGCUUUGCGACCCCAGGAAUUCACGUCUUGUUUGUACUUAAAAAGGAACGACUGCAAGUGAAGGCGUUCCAUGGCUCUGACACUCGUCGCCAUUCUAUCCUUCGUUCUUGCUGCUGCAGUUGCUGGCUCACGAGCGUGUAACAUCCAGCAAGUAACACUGAUGUUGCAACCGUGUUCCCAAUCUCCGCACGACUGGCCGACGCAGGCCUGCUGCGACAAUCUCCAGGGAAUUGCCGAAUCUUGCACCUGCGAAGUGCUUCUCAACGCCACCAAGUCUUUUGUCCCGGUUGAUCUGCCAGCAAAAUGUGAGAUGGAACAACUGCAAGUUCAAUGCAAACAAGGUACGUACCUGUGGUUCAGUUUCUAGCGAUCGAGAGCUCAACUCUCUCCUGGCCAGAUACAGCACCAGCAGCAUCAGCAGCAGUAACUCUUGUCCAAACCCAUAGAGGUGAGAAACAAAAGCAGGGACAGACUAGUUUCUCAAAACCUUGUUUUAACGCUGUGUGUCCUCAGAACAUCACCGUCAUCAGCAGUUGAGUUACUGUUAUGAUACGGACGACGAUGUACCACCACCUCCAGCACCACCUCGACUUAUUGAUCCUCGAGAGCGUCAAUACGCAACAGCUGUGCAGCUGCCGCCGGGCACUACAAUUGCUGCGGCUUCCUCCGGAUCCCUGUGUCUUACAAACCAUGUACCUCUUUUAGCAGCUGCUCUCGCUAUACUCGCAAUAAAGUGGUCGUCGUAACAAGAGAGCUUCCGAAUCUCACUGUACCUGAAAUUCUUCGUCUUCAUUUUUCUUUCGGGGAUGCUCUAGCUUUAACCACCGCUGCUUGAUGCCGAUCUUCCAUCGCAAGUGAUGCUCAGCCAUCCCCUUCGAGCCAAUAAAUCUCGAAAACUUUUGUAAACGCACGACACCUGACACAAGUACGAGCAAGAUGUCAAGAACUAACAAACAAACAAAUAAAUGAGACAACUUACCAGAACACCUUCACUCGAGAGGGACGGGGUCAAGCGUCACACAAAAGUCACCAUGACUCAAGACUCAAGACUUUGAGAAAUGUGCCUGGAAAAAUACACAAUAAAGUAAGAGAAAUCUGCUUUAUACAAGAAACAGCCCCUUGAUUCAUUUGAAACACACUCUCAAGUCGUGUCGCUGAUCUUCCACCUCAUAAGGAGCCGCGCUAGUAAAUAUAGAUACACGAUCCCGUGAGUAAGCACAAAGAUCUCUCUCGACGCAAAACGCCCGUGGCAAAAUACCUGGGACGUUCGCGAGCUCGCUGAAGAAGAAACUGAACAAGGAUCCAUCUGGCCUGCUCAGCUUCCAGCAACAGCUAUCGCACCCAGCGGCAAACCAAGCGUGUUGGUCUUCGAACCACCCGUAGCCUCGACCCUAGACGCGGCAGCUGCUUCCAACCGCUUCCAGUUGUUCUCCCGUUUCUCUUCCAGGCCCUUCGACUUCUCCUCUUCCUCAAGAUACUUGCGCUGACACUCGUCGAAAAGAUCUUUGUCCAUCUCCAGAAACAUCUUCCGUACGUUGACAGUUAAGCCGUGCACGGUCUGGUUCCAGUGAUUCCUGGUGUUUCUCUCCAAUGCUGAGAACACGAGAGGCAGCACUGUUUGCCGGUUCUGAGUCACCAGGCUGAUAAUAUGAUCAUUGUUCCACAAGAACAGAGCACGUUCCGCCACCUAUAAAAACCAGCAAAUCAGACCGCAAACCAAAAGAAACCAAGGGGAAACACCAAAAUGUACCUGGAAAUGCGAACUGUUGAGACAGCGACUGACUUGCCGAAACAACGGCAGCAUACAGCGUUGGAACUCUGGUGCUUGAGUCGCCUCUAAAACCUCCUCCAACUCGGCAAGAAACAGCACCUCCUUCUGACUGUUAGUGAUCGGCCAGUACUUGAGUAAGCCCCGGAUCACCGUGUCCGCCAGCUUCAUAUCUUUCUCCACAAACUGAGUGAUGCAGUAUAAAAGCUGCUGGUGGUAGAGUGUCACACAUUUCGGCUUGUGCAACGGAAUCAGCGCCCUGACGAGAGACAACUUGUGCUCUUCCUUGAGUGGCAGCGCAAAGCCGUUGAUUAUGCUCCCCAAGAUCUCAAGAAGCUCGGCAAUGCCAUUGUGCUUUUCCGUCUCAAAGAUGAACCUGUAGAAAAUGUUGUUGAAAGCCUUCCUGAUGAAUGGACGGUGGACCAUGAACUUCCCGUAAAUCCGGUGAAGGAUGGUCUUCAAGUAAUCUCUUUCGCGCGGGUCCUCCGAAUCAAAGAGAUCCAGCAGCCUCAGUACGAAUGCAUGAUCAAUGUACCUCUUAGCCUGCUUUGCAUCCGUGUCCGGCGACGCAACAAAUCUCAGGAGGAGCUCGUACACGAGUGAGAGAUGAGGCCAUGCCGGAUCCAUGGUUGGCUCCUCUUCUUCCGGAUCAUGCCCUUCGGAGACAGAGCUAGAAUGCGGCGAAGGUGGCAAUGACCGGAACAAGUUCACCGAAACCAUCUUCACGAUCUCUUCGUACGCCACCUCGUUGAGCUUGAUGUUCCCUGGAGAGCCUAUAAAAUCCACCGUCUCGACCAAAGCCUGCCGUUUCACCUCCUUCUCCUUGAUGUUCUUCGAGGGAUCCGUGAAGUCAGAUAGAACACUGCAAAGCUUGAGUUUCCUCCCGAGCAGCGCCAGCUUCUCCGAGCUAGGCACGUCCUUGAACGAAGGUAAGUGCUCAAAUCCGGAAGAGGAAUUCGCAGGCGGCCCAUCUACAGGUGACCCAGGAAGGUGUCUAAGAUCCUGUUUGCUGCCCAUCACCAUCCCCAGAGUGAUCGAAUUGGAGUUCAUGACGUCAUUGGGAGUACUCCAUCGCGGCACAGCCACUGUUCCUUGUUGUGCUACAUAUCCCUGGCUUCUACCAUUGCUGUGGAGUGGCGAUGGAUUGCUGGAGGGCUUGUUGUCCCCGCCGGAAGAGUUGUCGAUCUUCGAUGAAGAGCUCUUGACCGGAAAGAAGUUUCUCCAUCUCUUUUUCAUACCUGGCAAGAGAUCGUACGCCUGUAUCGAAGAAAUGCCCCCUUGCAAACCCCGCUCUAGACUAGGCUAGACCCAUUCGAUGCCGCCAGAUCGAUUCAUUCACAGCAGAUUUGGGAUCCAGCCCCAGCUUCUGGUGUAUGAAUCACGGCGGCGAUCUGCAAGCUCUUGGACAAAACACCAAAAUUUAGGAAGCUCGGGAGCUUGGCUAGCUAGAAGAACCUGGCAUCAGCGCUGAUCUGAUCGCGACGAUUCCAAAACCCCAACCACAGCCAUUUCGCUGCUCGAUUUCGCCGAGGUCGCUGCGCCUUCUUCCGGGAGCUAGAUUGGCGAUGCCGCUUCGAGUCCCUGGCGGAGCGCUCGAAUCGCGAUGCCCUAGCGCUAUCUAUCGCUUGCGCAGCCGGCAAAAUACUUGCAGCGCUAGGCGCCUAGCUACAGCCCCAAAAGAAAUAACGUUUUUACCCAAGAGGUUUUACGAUAGAGAAAAAAACACGAGAUAUUCCCAAAUAUACCACACUCACACUUGCGUGGCGCCGUCACAACCGUUAGAUGCGCGACAAAGAAACAUUUAAAAAGAAAAACCAUUUAUCAGACCCCGCGUCAACGUGGCCCAAUCCUGGCCGUCUGAUCCCACAGUACAAAUUUUUUCUUGCUACACGAGAGAAUCGAACCCCGCGCUGUUACAUUGGAGAGAAAAUGCUCUCUAGAUGGAACAAAAAGCAAGCACACAGCCAUGGCCGCCGCGACGAAAAGAGGGAUUCAACCAGAGAAAUUUCUUUCCUUUCAUCAAAUCGCUGCCGAUGCCGCUGCUUCUGGGGCCGCGGAUGAUUCCGGGGCCGCUUCCUCUUCCUUCUCGCUCUGGGAAUCUCGCGAAGAAUUCAUCGUCACUUGGAACCCUAGCCACAUGAGCGUGACCUCCUCUCGCGGCGCCGCCUGUGGCUGCUGUUGUUGAUUAUCCUCCUCGAAAUCAUACGCUUCGGGCUCCUCCCCUUCCUCCUCUUCCUCCUCUUCAUCCUGUUCUUCCUGUUCCUCCUCCUCCUCAUCAUCC
rnacentral:lncRNA from 1 species